CCUACGGGUGGCAGCAGUGAGGAAUAUUGGUCAAUGGACGCAAGUCUGAACCAGCCAUGCCGCGUGCAGGAAGACGGCUCUAUGAGUUGUAAACUGCUUUUGUACGAGGGUAAACGCAGAUACGUGUAUCUGUCUGAAAGUAUCGUACGAUUAAGGAUCGGCGAAUUCCGGGCCAGCAGCCGCGGUAAUACGGAGGGUUCAAGCGUUAUCCGGAUUUAUUGGGUUUAAAGGGUGCGUAGGCGGUCUGUUAAGUUAGAUGUGAAAUCCCGAGGCUCAACCUCUGAAUUGCAUCUGAUACUGUUAGGCUAGAGUGUAGUUGAGGUAGGCGGAAUUCAUGGUGUAGCGGUGAAAUGCUUAGAGAUCAUGAAGAACACCGAUUGCGAAGGCAGCUUACCAAGCUACUACUGACGUUGAGGCACGAAAGCGUGGGGAGCAAACAGGAUUAGAUACCCCAGUAGUC
rnacentral:rRNA from 1 species